GGGGUUGUGACUCAGUGGCAGAGCGCUUGCCUAGCAUGCAAGAGGCACUGGGUUUGAUCCCCAACACCA
rnacentral:tRNA from 1 species